CUCCUAUACAACCUACACCUUUAGCCUAAAACAAUAAGGUAAAUCUCCUAUACAACCUACACCUUUAGCCUAAAACAAUAAGGUAAAUCUCCUAUACAACCUACACCUAUAGCCUAAAACAAUAAGGUAAAUCUCCUAUACAACCUACACCUUUAGCCUAAAACAAUAAGGUAAAUC